AUAAAAAAAAAAAAGAAAUUCCCAACGCUCUACUAUAGAGAUAACAUCAUAUAAUAAUUUAAUAAGAGAUAAAAAAGUAAAGUGCUCAUCAAUUAAGAAGUGAGAAUUUGUUGAAGUUCUUUCUGCAGUUUCAAAGUCGACGCCAUUAUUUCUUCCACACUAGUUGAUACAUUAUCAAAGAUGAACCUACCAUUAUCAUUCUCUGAGAGGAGCUAUUGAGUUGGAUACACAAGACUUCCAUUCUCAAGUUCUACUCAACAUAGAAAUUAUAGUCUUCGGUACUCCUUCUAGUAGCUGACAUCUUCGGCAGAUAGGUUGAAUUGAUGGGAUGCGAUGAUGAAACUUUUGCAGCACUGGAAGCUUUUCAUGGAAGUCUCUCCAGAGAAAAAUCUUAAUCUUCCUUGGGAUUUUCAAUUUCCACAGUUCUCGCCACAAAUUUCAUUGUGUCAUAAUCUCUGGACAAAAUUCAAUGGGAGGAUGCGAGAAUCCAUAAGUCACAUGAUUAGAAAUUUCAGAUGAAGUAACAACAUAAAGAUGUGGAGGAGCAAGCCAAGAAUCACUGAAGAUUCGGAUACUGGACCCAUCACCAACUCGCCAAACUAGCCCAUUUUCAACAACCUUAUACCCUUCCAAUAUGCUACGCCACCUCCACGAAGGUAUUGUUCUGAUCUCUGCAUUCAUUAUAGAAAUGUAUCGAAAAUAUUUACCUUUGAGGAGUCUAGAUAGGAGUGAUUGUGGCUGAGAGACAACUUUCCAACAUUGUUUUGCUAAUAGCGCCAAAUUCUGAGCCUCUAGGUCCUUAAAACCUAGUCCACCUUCCAAUUUCAGUCUUGUCAUAGUAUCCCAACUAAUCCAUGCCAUUUUUCGCUCUGUACCUUUUUUACUCCACCAAAAUUGGGAGAGUAUGUUGUGAAUCUCCCUAAUUAAAGUGUCAGGAAGACGGAAACAUGAUAAUGAAUGAUUUGGGAUAGCCUCCCCAAUAGUUUUGAUUAGAACAUGCCUGCCUGCAGAGGAGAGAAGUUUUAUUUUCCACCCUUGAACUCGCUUCCUCACCUUGUCCUUGAUUUCUCCGAAGGUGGCCUUUUUUUUAUUUUGGACUGUAGAUGGAAGACCCACAUAUUUAUCCUGUGCACUAAUAUGAACAAUUUCCAAUUUUCAAGUCACUAGUAAUCGAGUAGCGGGAGGAGUAUUAUUACUAAAGAAUAGAGUUGAUUUAUGCAAAUUAAAUUUUUGGCCACUGAAUCCCUCGUAUGACUGAAGAAGAUUGAGAAUAUUUUCACAACUGUUUUCUGACGCUUUGCAAAAAAGGAUUGAGUCAUCCACAAACAAUAAAUGAUUAACAGUAGGACAUCUUUGGUUGAUCUGAAUACCUUCAAUGAGACUGUUUUGCUCUGCCUUGUUUGGUAAAAAGGAUAAUCCUUCUGCAUAGAAAAAAAAGGUAGGGAGAUAGAGGGUCUCUUUGACGAAUACCUCUAUUUGGUUUAAAAAAAACCAAAAGGUUCAACAACGACAUAGUAAGAAACUGUAGUCACCGCCUCUUGUAUCCAACCAAUCCACCUAGAUUCAAAUCCCAACUUCUCCAAAAUGAACCAAAGAAAAUGCCACUCAAUACGAUAAUAUGCUUUACUCAUAUCCAAUUUAACAACCAUUUCACUCGAUAGGCCCCUCUUCUUUGUCUUUAGAUAGUGCAUACAUUCAUGAGCGACUAGGACAUUGUCUGAGAUCAAUCUACCCUUAAUGAAGGGACUUUGAUUAGGGCUGAUCAGCGAAGUUAUAAAUUUCUGUAACCGAUGGACUAGUACUUUAGAAAUAAUCUUAUACACAACUGAGGAAAGGUUGAUGGGUCUAACCUGUGUCAUAUCCUUGCAUCAAGAAUCUUAGGAAUGAGACAGAUUUGUGUAUGGUUAAACCUCUUUAGUAGUCUACCACUAACAAAGAAACUGCGGACAGCCUUAAAAAUAUCCCCCUACUAAACUCUAGUAGAAUUGAAAGAAUUUAGCCGUACAUUGAUAAACCCCGAAUUUAUGAUUUAUCUUGUGCUUAAUUUGGGAGAUUUUAUCAAAUUUUCUCACAUUUAUUCAA